GACGAACGCUGGCGGCGUGCUUAACACAUGCAAGUCGAACGGAAAGGCCCUGCUUUUGUGGGGUGCUCGAGUGGCGAACGGGUGAGUAACACGUGAGUAACCUGCCCUUGACUUUGGGAUAACUUCAGGAAACUGGGGCUAAUACCGGCUAGGAGCUCCUGCUGCAUGGUGGGGGUUGGAAAGUUUCGGCGGUGGGGGAUGGACUCGCGGCUAAUCAGCUUGUUGGUGGGGUAGUGGCUUACCAAGGCUUUGACGGAUAGCCGGCAUGAGAGGGUGACCGGCCACAUUGGGACUGAGAGACGGAGCAGACGGCAACGGGAGGCAGCAGUGGGGAGUAUUGCACAAUGGGCGGAAGCGUGAGGCAGCAACGCCGCGUGCGGGAUGACGGCCUUCGGGUUGUAAACCGCUUUCGCCUGUGACGAAGCGUGAGUGACGGUAAUGGGUGAAGAAGCACCGGCUAACUACGUG
rnacentral:rRNA from 1 species